UCCCUGGUGGUCCAGUGGUUAAGACUCUGCACUCCCAAUGCAGAGUACCUGGGUUUGAUCCUUGGUUGGGGAA
rnacentral:tRNA from 1 species